rnacentral:lncRNA from 1 species
AGCUACUAUCAGCUGAUGGGGCAGGCUAGCUUGACUGAACAAACGCGAUGCUCAAUUUCUGUAUAUGUAUAUAUUUCUUUCAAAGAAACACCGACCCCAAGUGGACUUGAUAAAGAAAUGCAUUAGCUACAUACGGAAGCUAAGUGGAUGCAGUCCCCUCGGUCAAAGCUUGUUCCAGUUGCUCUGUAAGAAUGUAACCUUAUCCAGAACUCAGAAGGUAAAUGCUUCACAUUUAUAAUAAAAUUACAAAUGUCAUAAAAUUAUCAAAAAUAAAAACAUUUUUACUUUUUUUUGUUGAAACAGGUUGCACUGGUUGAAGGCCUGUACAUUCUCUUUCGAGAGAUUUUGCCAGAUCUCUCUACAACACAAGGGGGAAAAUCCAUUGAGGACCUUGAUGUCUUUGAGUAUUCAACAUACUGCUGGGCAUACCUCUUAUCAGAGGCAAAGAAAGAGUCCUCUGAAUUUGAAAACUACGCUCCAUACUCACUUUUGAAUGAAGACGGCAAACGAUUCUGUGAACCAGUCACUGUUCCAGGAGUCCCUGGAGCCCUCGAAAGAUCAUCAGUUGUGCACAAACUUAAAGAUGGAGAGAGGAUUCCCAACUGCUCAGAGCAGGUUCUGACAGAAACAUCCCUGAAGAAGGACACAGUCAUUGAGAAGAUUUUACUCAGUGUUCAUCCAUCAGUUACUACCCAUUACCUUUGGAUUGCUCACGACAGCGUGACUCAUCAAAAGUAAGUACUACACUAAUAAGUUCUUGUAUGUCGAAUGUGAUUACAUUUGCAUUACUAAAAGUAGGCUAACAAAGCUUGAUU